rnacentral:rRNA from 1 species
UGAGUACGAGAUGCUACGGCAUCGAAGCAGUCUAUGUCAUACUUCCAAGAAAAGCUUGCACUGUCAUAAACAAAGAAUGCCUGUACCAUAACCGACACAGGUGGGUAGGUAGAGUAUACUAAGGGGCGCGAGAUAACUCUCUCUAAGGAACUCGGCAAAAUGACUCCGUAACUUCGGGAGAAGGAGUGCCUUAUUUCUAAGGUUGCAAUAACAAGAUCCAAGCAACUGUUUACCAAAAACACAGGUCUCCGCUAAGUCGUAAGACGAUGUACGGGGGCUGACGCCUGCCCAGUGCCAGAAGGUUAAAGAAGUUGGUUAGCAUUAGCGAAGCUGAUAACUGAAGCCCUGGUGAACGGCGGCCGUAACGAUAACGGUCCUAAGGUAGCGAAAUUCCUUGUCGGGUAAGUUCCGACCCGCACGAAAGGCGUAAUGAUUUGGAUACUGUCUCGGAGAGGGGCUCGGUGAAAUAGACUUGUCUGUGAAGAUGCGGACUACCUGCACCUGGACAGAAAGACCCUAUGAAGCUUUACUGUAACUUGAGAUUGAAAUUGGACUUUAUUUGCGCAGUAUAGGUGGGAGGCGUUGAGAAUAAUCUUGCGGGAUUGUUGGAGCCAUCAGUGAGAUACCACUCUUGUAAUGUUAGAUUUCUAACUUUGUAUCAUUAUCUGGUCAAAGAACAGUUUCAGGCGGGCAGUUUGACUGGGGCGGUCGCCUCCCAAAGGGUAACGGAGGCGCACAAAGGUUUCCUCUGAACGGGUAGAAAUCGUAUCUAGAGUGUAAAGGCAUAAGGAAGCUUGACUGUGAGACCUACAAGUCGAGCAGGGACGAAAGUCGGUCUUAGUGAUCUGACGGUGCUGAGUGGAAAGGCCGUCACUCAACGGAUAAAAGUUACUCUAAGGAUAACAGGCUGAUCUCCCCCAAGAGUUCACAUCGACGGGGAGGUUUGGCACCUCGAUGUCGGCUCAUCGCAUCCUGGGGCGGUAGUCCGUCCCAAGGGUUGGGCUGUUCGCCCAUGAAAGCGGUACGCGAGCUGGGUUCAGAACGUCGUGAGACAGUUCGGUCCAUAUCCGGUGUAGGCGUUAGAAUAUUGAGAGGAGCCUUCUCUAGUACGAGAGGACCGAGAAGGACAUACCUCUGGUGUACCAGUUAUCGUGCCAACGGUAAACGCUGGGUAGCUAUGUAUGGAAUGGAUAACCGCUGAAAGCAUCUAAGUGGGAAGCCCACCUCAAGAUAAGUAUUCUC